rnacentral:lncRNA from 1 species
CCUGUGCUAGAUCCCUCCUGGUCAAAGGUUGAUGACUGUCCUGAUGUAGAACCAUGCUGUCCUUGGCUACAGAAGUGCCCUGAGCCACUACCAUGCUGACUGUAAGCAGAGGAAUGUCCUGAGCCAGACUCAUGUUGACCAAAGACAGAAGAGUGACCCAAGCGAGACUCAUAUGGGCCACGGCUGGAAGAACGACCUGAGCCAGACCCAUGUUGGCCGUGGCUGGAGGAGUGCCCCAAACCGGACCCAUGUCGGCCGCGGCUAGGGGACUGGCCAGAUCCAGACCCUUGUCGGCCGUGGCCCGAAGACUGACGGGAGCCAGACCCAUGCUGACCAUAGUGGGAAGACGAACCUGAGCUAGAUCCGUGUCGUUCACCCCUAGAUGACUGUCCUGAUCUAGAGCCGUGUUGUCCGUAGCCAGAGGAGUGACCUGAGCCAGACCCAUGCUGACUGUAACUAGAGGACUGCCCUGAGCUAGACUCGUGGUGACCAAAGCCAGAAGACUCGCCUAAGCCAGACCCAUGUUGGCCACUGCUGGAAGACCGACCGGAGCCAGACCCAUGUCGGCCGUAGCUGGGAGACUGCCUUGACCCAGACCCACGCUGGCCGUGGCCUGGAGACUGGCCAGAUCCAGAGCCCUGUCGGCCAUAGCCAGAAGACUGACUUGAGCCAGAGCCAUGCUGACCGUGGCUGGAAGACUGACCUGAGCUAGCUCCAUGUUGGCCACAGCUCGAUGACUGUCCUGAUGUAGAACCAUGUUGCCCAUGGGUAGAGGAAUGACCUGAGCUAGAUCCAUGUUGACCGUAGCCAGAGGACUGUCCUGAGCGAGACUCUCGGUGACCUAAGCCAGAAGAGUGACCGGAGCCAGACUCAUAUGGGCCACGGCUGGAAGACCACCCUGAGCCAGACCCAUAUGGGCUGUAGCUGGAAGACUGCCCAGAACCAGACCCAUGUCGGCCACGGCUAGGGCUAGGAGACUGGCCAGAUCCAGACCCAUGUUGGCCGUGGCCCAAAGACUGACGGGAGCCAGACCCAUGCUGACCAUAGCUGGAAGAUGAACCUGAGCUAGAUCCGUGUCGUUCACCCCUAGAUGACUGUCCUGACCUAGAGCCGUGUUGUUCGUAGCUGGAGGAGUGACCUGAGCCAGAUCCAUGCUGAGUGUAACCAGAGGACUGCCAUGAGCUAGACUCGUGGUGACCAAAUCCAGAAGACUGACCUGAGCCAGACCCAUGUCGGCCACUGCUGGAAGACCAACCGGAGCCAGACCCAUGUUGGCCGUAGCUGGAAGAGUGCCCGGAACCGGACCCAUGUCGGCCGCGACUAGGAGACUGGCCAGAUCCAGAGCCCUGUUGGCCAUAGCUAGAAGACUGACUUGAGCCAGAGCCAUGCUGACCGUGGCUGGAAGACUGACCUGUGCUAGAUCCCUCCUGGUCAAAGGUUGAUGACUGUCCUGAUGUAGAACCAUGCUGUCCUUGGCUACAGAAGUGCCCUGAGCCACUACCAUGCUGACUGUAAGCAGAGGAAUGUCCUGAGCCAGACUCAUGUUGACCAAAGACAGAAGAGUGACCCGAGCGAGACUCAUAUGGGCCACGGCUGGAAGAACGACCUGAGCCAGACCCAUGUUGGCCGUGGCUGGAGGAGUGCCCCGAACCGGACCCAUGUCGGCCGCGGCUAGGGGAAUGGCCAGAUCCAGACCCUUGUCGGCCGUGGCCCGAAGACUGACGGGAGCCAGACCCAUGCUGACCAUAGCGGGAAGACGAACCUGAGCUAGAUCCGUGUCGUUCACCCCUAGAUGACUGUCCUGAUCUAGAGCCGUGUUGUCCGUAGCCAGAGGAGUGACCUGAGCCAGACCCAUGCUGACUGUAACUAGAGGACUGCCCUGAGCUAGACUCGUGGUGACCAAAGCCAGAAGACUCGCCUAAGCCAGGCCCAUGUUGGCCACUGCUGGAAGACCGACCGGAGCCAGACCCAUGUCGGCCAUAGCUGGGAGACUGCCUUGACCCAGACCCACGCUGGCCGUGGCCUGGAGACUGGCCAGAUCCAGAGCCCUGUCGGCCAUAGCCAGAAGACUGACUUGAGCCAGAGCCAUGCUGACCGUGGCUGGAAGACUGACCUGAGCUAGCUCCAUGUUGGCCACAGCUCGAUGACUGUCCUGAUGCAGAACCAUGUUGCCCAUGGGUAGAGGAAUGACCUGAGCUAGAUCCAUGUUGACCGUAGCCAGAGGACUGUCCUGAGCGAGACUCUCGGUGACCUAAGCCAGAAGAGUGACCGGAGCCAGACUCAUAUGGGCCACGGCUGGAAGACCACCCUGAGCCAGACCCAUAUGGGCCGUAGCUGGAAGACUGCCCAGAACCAGACCCAUGUCGGCCACGGCUAGGGCUAGGAGACUGGCCAGAUCCAGACCCAUGUUGGCCGUGGCCCAAAGACUGACGGGAGCCAGACCCAUGCUGACCAUAGCUGGAAGAUGAACCUGAGCUAGAUCCGUGUUGUUCACCCCUAGAUGACUGUCCUGACCUAGAGCCGUGUUGUUCGUAGCUGGAGGAGUGACCUGAGCCAGAUCCAUGCUGAGUGUAACCAGAGGACUGCCAUGAGCUAGACUCAUGGUGACCAAAUCCAGAAGACUGACCUGAGCCAGACCCAUGUCGGCCACUGCUGGAAGACCAACCGGAGCCAGACCCAUGUUGGCCGUAGCUGGAAGAGUGCCCGGAACCGGACCCAUGUCGGCCGCGACUAGGAGACUGGCCAGAUCCAGAGCCCUGUUGGCCAUAGCUAGAAGACUGACUUGAGCCAGAGCCAUGCUGACCGUGGCUGGAAGACUGACCUGUGCUAGAUCCCUCCUGGUCAAAGGUUGAUGACUGUCCUGAUGUAGAACCAUGCUGUCCUUGGCUACAGAAGUGCCCUGAGCCACUACCAUGCUGACUGUAAGCAGAGGAAUGUCCUGAGCCAGACUCAUGUUGACCAAAGACAGAAGAGUGACCCGAGCGAGACUCAUAUGGGCCACGGCUGGAAGAACGACCUGAGCCAGACCCAUGUUGGCCGUGGCUGGAGGAGUGCCCCAAACCGGACCCAUGUCGGCCGCGGCUAGGGGACUGGCCAGAUCCAGACCCUUGUCGGCCGUGGCCCGAAGACUGACGGGAGCCAGACCCAUGCUGACCAUAGCGGGAAGACGAACGUGAGCUAGAUCCGUGUCGUUCACCCCUAGAUGACUGUCCUGAUCUAGAGCCGUGUUGUCCGUAGCCAGAGGAGUGACCUGAGCCAGACCCAUGCUGACUGUAACUAGAGGACUGCCCUGAGCUAGACUCGUGGUGACCAAAGCCAGAAGACUCGCCUAAGCCAGACCCAUGUUGGCCACUGCUGGAAGACCGACCGGAGCCAGACCCAUGUCGGCCGUAGCUGGGAGACUGCCUUGACCCAGACCCACGCUGGCCGUGGCCUGGAGACUGGCCAGAUCCAGAGCCCUGUCGGCCAUAGCCAGAAGACUGACUUGAGCCAGAGCCAUGCUGACCGUGGCUGGAAGACUGACCUGAGGUAGCUCCAUGUUGGCCACAGCUCGAUGACUGUCCUGAUGUAGAACCAUGUUGCCCAUGGGUAGAGGAAUGACCCGAGCUAGAUCCGUGUUGACCGUAGCCAGAGGACUGUCCUGAGCGAGACUCUUGGUGACCUAAGCCAGAAGAGUGACCGGAGCCAGACUCAUAUGGGCCACGGCUUGAAGACCUCCCUGAGCCAUACCCAUGUGGGCCAUAGCUGGAAGACUGCCUGGAACCAGACUCAUGUCGGCCACGGCUAGGGCUAGGAGACUGGCCAGAUCCAGACCCAUGUCGGCUGUGUCCCAAAGAUUGACGGGAGCCAGACCCAUGCUGACCAUAGCUGGAAGAUGAACCUGCACUAGAUCCUUGUCGUUCACCCCUAGAUGACUGUCCUGACCUAGAGCCGUGUUGUCCGUGGCCGGAGGAGUGACCUGAGCCAGAUCCAUGCUGAGUGUAACCAGAGGAAUGCUCUGAGCUAGACUCGUGGUGACCAAAGCCAGAAGAGUAGCCUGAACCAGACACAUAUGGGCCACUGCUGGAAGAUCGACCAAAGCCAGUCCCAUGUUGGCCGGAGCUGGGAGACUGCCCUGACCCAGACCCACGCUGGCCGUGGCCUGGAGACUGGCCAGAUCCAGAGCUGUGUUGGCCGCGGCCUGAAGAGUGACGGGAGGCAGACUCAUGCUGACCAUAGCUGGAAGACUGACGUGAGCUGGAGCCAUGUUGGCCAGAGCUUGAUGCCUGCCCUGACGUAGAUCCAUGUUGUCCCUGGCUAGAGGAGUGACCUGAGCCAGAACCAUGCUUACUAUAGCCAGAGGACUGUCCUGAGCCAGACUCAUGUUGCCCAAAGCCAGAAGUCUGGCCUGAGCCAGACUCAUAAUGGCCACGGCUGUAAGAGUAACUUGAGCCAGACCCGUGUUGGCCGUGGCUGGAGGAGUGCCCCGAACCGGACCCAUGUCGGACGUGGCUAGGAGACUGGCGAGAUCCAGACCCUUGUCGGCCGUGGCCCAAAGACUGACGGGAACCAGACCCAUGCUGACCAUAGCUGGAAGACGAACCUGAGCUAGAUCUGUGUCGUUCACCCCUAGAUGACUGUCCUGACCUAGAGCCGUGUUGUCCGUAGCCAGAGGAGUGACCUGAGCCAGAUCCAUGCUGACUGUAACCAGAGGACUGCCCUGAGCUAGACUUGUGUUGACUAAAGCCAGAAGACUGGCCUGAGCCAGACCCAUGUGUGUCAUUGCUGGAAGACUGUCCGGAGCCAGAGCCGUGUUGGCCAUAGUUGGGAGACUGCCCUGACCCAGACCCACAUUGGCCGCGGCCUGAAGACUGAUGGGAGUCGGAGUUUUGCUCACCAUAGCUGGAAGACUGACCUGAGUAGGAGUUAUGUUGGCCAGAAAAGUCUCUUUGAAAACUCAGUCUUCUGGAUAUGGAUUCAGUCCCAGGUUUAAGACUUCCUCUGACGUUUCUGGAAUAGGAAUCAUUCUCUCCUGCACUCCAACUUGAAUGACUAAAAGAGGAUUCUUGCCGUUUGUUCUCCUCUUUUUCAGUUUCUUCUUGUUCCUCUUGGUGCUGGUGAGUGUCAUCUCUCAGCUUUGACCCUGAAACUUGGCAGUAAUCUUUGCCAAUGAUUUUAUUACGAGCCUGAACCAGCUUGAAUAUCAUCAGAAGAUACUCAGUAAAAUCCACUUUCUUGUUAUGGUCUCGAUCCAGACUUUGCAAGAUGAUAUCCACAGUAUCUGGAUCGUUUGGAUUCUGUAUAAGAGAAAGGUACAAAGAGUAGCUCUGUUAGUAUGGACAAUACAUCUGGCUAACGAACUGAAGGAAAGAUGUGAAAAUGUAAAUGUUUGGGUUAUUUAUAUGGAACUCAUUCACACAGUCCUUUAGGCUGCAUUUCUGUAUCCUGAGCAGAAAGAGAAAAAGGAAUAUGGAAUGAAUAAUGUGGUGGGAAACAGCUAGAAUAGGAUGCAACUGGAAGAUGAAAGGAAACAAGAGGGCUGAUUAUUUUUGGUAAAGAAUGGGUCAAAUAUGAAUGAUUAGCUAAUUUAUAAGUAAUAUGUUUUUAUACCUACAUUAAUUAUAUCAACUUUAUUUAUCCAAUUAAAUUAACUAGCUACUUAAUUUACUCACUGAACAAAGAUUUAUUAUUUUACUAGUUGCCUACCAUUAUGUCAUAUGAGAGUAUAAAGAAGUGAACAAGUUUGCUUCCUGAAAAAAAAUGGAAUUUAAAGUUUAGUUGGCCAGAUAUACAAACUUAAAAUUAUAAUUUAUUGUGGUAAGGUUUCUACAAGAGUACAUCAGAGAGGAAACAUUGGGGGUCCUAGAAAGGUUAAUGAGAGGAAAUGAUGCCUUUUGAAGGAUGGAUUAGGAUUAGCCAAAUGAAGAAGUAGGAAGAGAAAGAGAAGGGGAAAAGAUUGUUCUAGGCAGAGGGAAUUAUAUGAACAAAGGGCUAGAGGUGAGAGAAGUUAUGGAGCAUUCAAGGAACUGAAGGAAAUUCAGGAUUGCUAGAUUUAGAGUUUGAAGAGUCAAGAAAUGUGGAUAGAGAGACAAAUAGGGACUAGAUUAUGACUUUUAAGUUAUGUUAAGGAACUUUGUACUUCAUUUUAAGAGCAAUUGGGAACUAUUGAAGGAUUUUUAGCUGAGGAGUGAAAUGAUUAUAUUUGCAUCCAAUGCUGAGAGUAGAAGUAGUAGGUGGCCUGAACCAGAGGACUAAUAAUAGUGAUGAAGAGAAAUGGGUUGUUUUGAGAGAUUAUUGAUGAGUUAGAUGGAGGUUAGAAGGUAGUGGUGUCUGCUGAGAGAGAGACAAUAAAAAAUGACACCAGGUUUUUGCUUUGGGCAAAAAGAUGAAGGAAAAAGGUUAGUGGGGAAGAUUAUGAGAUUCAUAGCUGACACACUGAAUAUCUGACAUCUGAUAUCUGAAUAUCAUAUCUGAAAUCCACAGAAAUCCAAAUUUAAGGAAUUGAAACUCAGGAGUCUGAUAUAAGGUCCCAAAUAUCUAAGCUAUCAAAUCUAGACCUGACAGUUUUAAGGUGGUGGACACAUUCUUUUGUGAUUCAGGAGUAAAUGCCAAUUUCCUGAACUCAGAAAUCUACUUCACAGUUUUUCUGAGGACUGUCUGGGUUUGUAGGAAUUAGUCACUUAGAUAGGACAUUAUUUAACCUGUGGGUUUUGUUUGUUGUUUAGUAAGGUCACUUCCGUUAGUUAUGCUAUGGAAACCAUCACGGAUCUGCUUUUGACCUUAUCUCAAACUUUUACCAAACCCUGUUCUCUCUCACCAAGUAAGGACAAUCCUCUAGGAUGUUUGACAUAUGUGACAAGAAGGUGGAAAGGGAUAAAGAAGAAAAUUCCUGCAUAACUCCAUCCUGGCGUGGAGUUCUUACCUUCAGAAUUUGAUGAAACUCAUUUUCCAGAAGUUCUUUCAGCUCUGCCUUGUUCAACGUAUCAUACUCCCCAUGCUGGGUGGCAUAUUGGUAGAAAACAUCGAUGACAGUGAUGACGCCUUGUAGGAGUUUAGGCAUUUUUUUUUUUGCAAGUUUGAGUAACCUAAAGGGAGGAAAAAGAGAGACCAACCCCUUACUAUUCUUAUUUCUUGUUUAAACACAUAAAUAGUUCUAAUUAUUUAUAAUAAUUGUUCAGAAUUAGUCAGUCAUGAUUAAAUUCAUUCUGUUGUAAUCAAGAACCAAUUCAGAGUUGAAUGACUUGUUCAAGCCAUGUAGCAAGAGAGUGAUGAAAUUAGGAAUAUAAUCCAUAGGUCUUAUUUCCAUUCCUGAAUGAAUGUAGGAAAAAUGACUUUCUGUUUUUGGCUUCCUGCCAUUACCAGGGAUAAUAUUAGCUUUGUUCUGGAGCUGUAGAAGUCCUGAGUGUUCCACUUCAUCUGCUUCCUCUUUCUAGGUUCGAAGCAUACUGUGGGCAUAGGUCCAUCAUCUACAUGACAUGCCUUACUCAACCUAAGGAGCAUCAAUGGCUGAACUGAACUCUCAAGACUUCUAGGUCAGAGAAAAUAGACAAUGUGAGCAAAGCCAACAAGCCUAGGUGAUAUGAAGCUAAGGGUAACUGCUAUUAGAUCCAGCUUCUGUUCUCAUUCUCCAAGCAGGAAGUGACCCUCAGACCUUAUUACACAAUAGAGAGGAAAAGCUCAGUUGUAAAGAAGGCAACCUGCCUGUGGAUAAUUAGAACCCCAUGAUAUCCAUGUUAUAAGGGAAGCGACCUCAAAGAAAGGAGAUAAUAUACAUAGUCCUAGUCUUUGUUUCAUUUUUCUUUUCAGUAAAUUUAAACUUAUACCAAAGUUCCCCAGAGUAUACUAAAAAGAAGCCUUGUAUCUAGUGCCUCUUUGCCUUAGAGCACAUCCUGGACUUUCAUAAUUUAUAGCCCUAAGUACCCUUGAGCGGAGUUGAACUGCUCACUUACCUAGCUCACCAGAGGAACAAGUAGGGUAGAGACAGAAACAGCUUUCAGGGUGCUGCGAGUUGGGCAGAGUGGCCUUUUUAUAGAGGGAAUAAUGGUCCCUCUUAGGGAGGAGUUGCUAAUUUUGAGAUGUCCUAAUUUACUCCUAAACAAGCCCAUCUCCACCUCUAUCUCCACCUCCCAGGUGUUUACCUUCUUCCUGACUUCCUUACAGGUUCACCUAAGAUUGCAUUAGCAGUUCCCAAAUCUGGGCUACUCUCAGCCCCACCUGCCAAAGGGUCAGGACACUGCAGAAAGGCCUGUUUUUGUAUUCAUCAAACUAUCUAGCACAAUAUAUUGACAACAAAUUGUGUGGAUUUUAAUAGAAGUUGAAUGGAGUGUGUGCAGGGACAUCAUGGCCCAAAUGUCAAAAAAUCAUGGAAAUUGAUGAUUAAAAGGACUGUAAAGAUCAUCUAGUCAAACUCUCCCAUUCUAAGCUAAAUGUUCUUAAAUGGUAUUCCAGCCAAAGUGUCAUCUUUGGUAUUGUUAUUACCUUUUGAAUUGGAUAAUGGCUCCAGGCCAUCCUUUAACUCAUUAAGUACCUCAAUUUACCAGACCCCUUAUUGGCCAUUCAUCACCAUAGCUUUCAUUUCAAACACCAUAUAACCUUAGGAAGAAAUGCGUGCUUGUUAGCAUGGUAUCCAUGGUUCCUCAUGAUCUGGGCUGUGGCUUUUUUCCAGCUCCAUUUCUCCCCUCCAUAUUUCUCUUUGUACUCCAACAGUAAUUAACUAGUAAUAUUUCAAACUUCCUCAAUAUACCAUGGGAUAUGUUAUUUCAUAUUUUUUCUUAGAAUGUCUUUCCUCAUUGUCUGCCUAGUGAACUAAUUAUUCUUCAAAAUCCAAUUUAGGCUUCCCAUAGAAAAUCUUUCCUGAAUUACUCAAGAGGGAGUUGUAAUUGUGUACCUUAUUCAUAUUUAUUGUUGUAUCAAUCAUACUAUAUUGUAAUCUUUAAAAAUUGUUUUACUAUACAAUUAUUGUUUAAUAUAAAAAUUAGAAAAUAUUGAUAAGCAAAUAAGAUAAAAUCAAAAUACCUUUAAAGCCACUAGCCAAAAAUAACUACUGUUAGUUAUUUGUUGUAUAUCCUUGCCUUUCACAAACACACACAUUCACACACAGACACACACAUUUGUCUAUGGGCUUAUUUCAUUUCUAGGCUAUGAGCUCCUUGAGAAUAAGGAAUGGACAUUAUUUAUCCUUAUGUCAUUUGGAGACCUAGUAUACUGCUUGUCACAUAACGGUCUCCAAUAAAUGUCAGUUUGAAUUCAUUUGAAAGAGAAGCAAGGAUCAAGACUAUAGUCCUCUGCAUUGGCCAACUUCCAUCUUUUCACAGGAGGACUAGGGUCUGCCCUCUCUCUUGCCAUCUUUGCCUCAGAGGACAUGAUUUUACCUGAAUAUAAACGGAAUCUUAGCAUUGAGAAUCAAUGAGUGGCUUUCUGCUUUUUUCUGAGGCCCUCGCUCUGCAUUUCUUCCAUUGUGAACAUAUAACACAAAUUUCACUGAAGGUGUGUGAAGUUACAUGGACUUAAAACUUGUGCAAUAUGGUCAUCAGGAUUUGAGAAGGUGUGGUAGCAACUGUUGGCAAGUGAUAAAUUACAUGAUUCCAAAUUCAACUAUUGUUAGGCUAUGUGUUUUCUUUUAAGAAUUGCCCAGAGGGCUGCAGAGUCAGUAUCCAUUCUGUAGCCGUGUUUCCUCUGGACAUCUGAUUGGGCCAGGUUUUCAUGCUUCAUCAGAACAAUGACUUUUUAAAGGUGUGGCUGAGACUGUGGGAGUAAAGGGGGGUGGAAUUUGCUGAGUGAAGACUGAUUUCCUGCAGGAACCAGCUGUUGUCACGAAGGGAGGAGAGGGUUGUGAGAGAAGACUAUUCCAGGUGAACGUGCUCUUGGGGCUAGUGUUCUCCUGAAAUAGGGGCCAGCAAACUUUUUUUUUUGUAAAGGGCCAGAUGGUACAAAAUAUUAUCUCUGCAGGACAGAUAGUUUUUGUUGCAACUACUCAACUCUGCUAUUGUAGCAUAAAAGCAGCCAUAGAUGAUAUGUAAACAAAUGAGCAUGGCUAUGUUUCAGUAAAACUUAUUUAUCAAUACUGAUCUUUGAAUGUCAUAUAAUUUCACAUAUCAUAUAUUUUUUCAACCGCUUACAAAUGUAGAAAACCUUUUUAUCCUGUAGGCUACACAAAAAUGGAUGACAAGCUAGCUAUGAACUGCAGGCUGUAGUUUACCACUCUUUGCUCCUCUUCUGUAUUUGCUUUUCAGGAAGAUUCUCUGGGAGAGGAGGAUCUGAGAGAAAAGAAGGGCUGAAAAGUGUGGGACAUCAGAACCACUAACUCUUGCAUGAGAGAACAAGAGUGAAGGUGAAUUUGUAAAUAUCAGCAUGUGUGGGGUGGUGGGGAAAGGGAACAGAACAAGGGACCUUUGGCUGCUCGUAAAAGGGAGAUAAAUUUUGAUUUGAUGUAAGGGAGAAAUAUUUAAUAUUUGCAUUGACUGAAAAUGCAGUGAGCUCUUUGUGAAGUAACUGAAUUUAUUGUCAAGUAUCAUAUGAAUAGUUUUUUACUAUUAAAGAAAAAAUUAAUUCUUUCAUUACGUUGUUUUCUGGAUAUGCUCACCAACUAGAAUUUUGUUGGGCUUUUUUUCCUCGUUUGUAUCAUGAAAAUAAGAAGCAUAUUACAUAUGCGUCUUGGUCUCUUCUCUCCCCAUUGAGAAUUACUUAUUAAGAGUAGGACUAGAUUAUCACAAAAGUCACUUUCAAAACAGUUUCUUGUUUUUUUUAGAGUGUGUGCUCCAUAGUAACAGAGUUGGACAUGAAGAUUCCUCCAUCAUGGGUUUGGUUAGUGGUUUUUCCACUUGGAGAUGAUAGGUUUCAGGAGAAAAGCUUUUCUAUGGUAUGUGCCAUGUUCUAGGUUUUUGAGUGCCUUUCUCUGUGUGUUGGCAGAAGAAUGAAAAUUACAUUCCUUUUUAUGACAAGCACAGUGCUUUGUGUGUGGGUGUACAUUGUUUCAUUAAUUCUUACAACAACCCUGUUAUCUAGAUAUUAUAUUUCCAUUUUGCAGAUGAGAAAACUGAGGCUCAGAUGAAAUCUGUAACUUGUUUCAAGUCACUUAGCUGUUAAGUGGAGAAGACAGAAUUCAAAUUCAAAUCUGCUUUUUCCUAGGAAUAGUCAGCAAGUAGGGAAAUAUUCAUGUCUUGGUAAAGGAAGGGUUUUGGAAACAGUUCUUCAGGAAUGGAGUGUUUCACCUAGGAAAAACAAACAAACAAAACUAGCAAGGAUAAACAGUGAAGUUCCAGUACCAUCUGUGUGCACUCAUUUUUUUCUGCCUGUCUGGAAGGCAGAGUAAUGUGCCUAUUGCACCAUCUGCUGGGUCAUAGGGAAAUUCUAAAGCAGAUCUUUUCUUCAUUGCCUUUUCUGCCCUUUUUCCUUACAGAAAUUAUUUCAUGGAAUUUCUAUAGUUCUUUGUAGCCUAGUCUCUAUAAAUGAGGAGACUAUGUAAAAAAUAGGGGUAUGUAUAUAAGAGAAGGUUGAUGGUCAUGAUUUUGGGUAAAUGGAAUCAAAAGAAGUUAGCUAUAAUAUGAAACUGGUUAAAUAGUGCUUCCUUCUAUAUCCUCUUUUGAGUCCUUUUUACUGUUAUCUCAAAAAAUAAAAAAUGGAUUCGAUAUAAUUUUACAGCUUAGUAUAUAUUCCCUGGGGAUGAGACAGGCAUGGUGACAUAUCUUUCAGCUUCAGACCCACACCCUGGAAUAUAUUCUGCUUCAGUACUGGUCUGCCUAUUGAGUUGUUUCUUUCUCCCUUAAUAUCCUCCAUUUUCUCUUCCGAGAACUCCAAAAUGCUUCAAAUGCUGGGAAUCCAGAGCUCAUUCAUAC